GAUGAACGCUGGCGGCGUGCUUAACACAUGCAAGUCGAACGGUGAAGGAGGAGCUUGCUCCUCCGGAUCAGUGGCGAACGGGUGAGUAACACGUGAGCAAUCUGCCCCGAACUCUGGGAUAAGCGCUGGAAACGGCGUCUAAUACCGGAUACGACACGGGAGGGCAUCCUCUCCGUGUGGAAAGAAUUUCGGUUCGGGAUGAGCUCGCGGCCUAUCAGCUUGUUGGUGAGGUAAUGGCUCACCAAGGCGACGACGGGUAGCCGGCCUGAGAGGGUGACCGGCCACACUGGGACUGAGACACGGCCCAGACUCCUACGGGAGGCAGCAGUGGGGAAUAUUGCACAAUGGGCGCAAGCCUGAUGCAGCAACGCCGCGUGAGGGACGACGGCCUUCGGGUUGUAAACCUCUUUUAGCAGGGAAGAAGCGAAAGUGACGGUACCUGCAGAAAAAGCACCGGCUAACUACGUGCCAGCAGCCGCCGUAACAC
rnacentral:rRNA from 1 species